AGCAGCCGCGGUAAUUCCAGCUCCAAUAGCGUAUAUUAAAGUUGUUGCAGUUAAAAAGCUCGUAGUUGAAUUUCGGGAUCAAUUUAUCGGUCGUGCCAAUGGUAUGAACUGGUACAAUUGGUUUCUCCCUUCUGACGAAGCAUGAUGUCAUUAAUUUGGUGUCGUGGGGAAUCAGGACUGUUACUUUGAAAAAAUUAGAGUGUUUAAAGCAAGCAUUAGCUUGAAUACAUUAGCAUGGAAUAAUGAAAUAGGACGUUUGAUCCUAUUUCGUUGGUUUCUAGGAUCGACGUAAUGAUUAAUAGGGAUAGUUGGGGGCAUUAGUAUUCAAUUGUCAGAGGUGAAAUUCUUGGAUUUAUUGAAGACUAACUACUGCGAAAGCAUUUGCCAAGGAUGUUUUCAUUAAUCAAGAACGAAAGUUAGGGGAUCGAAGACGAUUAGAUACCGUCGUAGUCUUAACCAUAAACUAUGCCGACUAGGGAUCGGAUGAUGUUAAUUUUUUAAUGACUCA
rnacentral:rRNA from 1 species